GACGAACGCUGGCGGCGUGCCUAAUACAUGCAAGUUGAGCGCUGAAGGUUGGUACUUGUACCGACUGGAUGAGCAGCGAACGGGUGAGUAACGCGUGGGGAAUCUGCCUUUGAGCGGGGGACAACAUUUGGAAACGAAUGCUAAUACCGCAUAAAAACUUUAAACACAAGUUUUAAGUUUGAAAGAUGCAAUUGCAUCACUCAAAGAUGAUCCCGCGUUGUAUUAGCUAGUUGGUGAGGUAAAGGCUCACCAAGGCGAUGAUACAUAGCCGACCUGAGAGGGUGAUCGGCAACAGUGGGACUGAGACACGGCCCAAACUCCUACGGGAGGCGGCAGUAGGGAAUCUUCGGCGAUGGACGAAAGUCUGACCGAGCAACGCCGCGGGAGUGAAGAAGGUUUUCGGAUCGUAAAACUCUGUUGGUAGAGAAGAACGUUGGUGAGAGUGGAAAGCUCAUCAAGUGACGGUAACUACCCAGAAAGGGACGGCUAACUACGUG
rnacentral:rRNA from 1 species